UUUUUUCCUCUAUCUCUCUCUCUCUCUCGAUUAAUUUCGGCAAUGGGGCUUUUUUUUUUUCUCCAAAUCAUUCCUCCCAUUCUCUUCUAAAAUUUAAAUUAUAUAAUGUAGGCUAAAUUACAGAAAACCCCCCUGUAAUAACCUGCUUUUUUACUUCGCCCCUGACAUUUAAAAACCUACACUUUGCCCCCUUGUAAAAUAAAAAAUGUGCACUUCACCCCCUACCGUUAGGAUUUCAUUAUAAAAUAUUUUUUUAUGCCAAAAAUACCCCUCCGCCCUUUUCCUUGUUGCUUCGCCUCUCUCCGGCUCGCCGCCUCGCCGCCGUCUCGCCACCUCGCCGUCCUGCACUGCCUCGCCCUCUCCCACUUCCCCUUCGCCCUCCUCCGCCGCCUCGCCUUCGCCCUCAUUGCCCUUGCCUACCUCUCCAUUAACACCCACCUCGAUUUCCUCCCUACUAUCGUCGAAAUCAAGGGGUGGCGAGGGUGCAGGAGAAGAAGGGGAGCAGGUGGAGAAGGAAAUGGAGAGAAAUCGCGGCCGAUUGAGGUGAGAAUUGCGGCCGAUCAAAGGGGCGGCUGAGGAAGAUGAGGAAGAAGACGAAAAUGGCGAGGGGCAAAAUGGUCAUUUUACACACCGUAACCCCCCCUGUGAAUAUUUUUCAUUUUACAAGGGGGCAAAGUCUAGGUUUUUAAAUGUCAGGGGGGAAAGUGAAAAAGUGGGUUAUUACAGGGGGCUUUUUGUAAUUUAGCCAAUGUAUAAUUUUUUACACAUAACUUUUUAUAUAGCUAAAAUUACAUAUAUUAAAUAUAAAAUUUUAAUUUUAUAAUAUUUAUCACUUAAAAAUAAGUUGUACAAUAAAAAAU
rnacentral:lncRNA from 1 species